rnacentral:misc_RNA from 1 species
AACCAUUGAUUUAGGAAUAGCUCCAAGCAAGCUAGAAUCUUAUCAGGGUGGAGAUAUCGAGAGUAUAGAUCCCAUGGAGAGAUUAAAAUCUGUUAAAGGUCAUCUUGUUUCCUUCCCUUUGGAUUUUAUGUGCAAAGAAGAUUUAAGACCUGUGUUUAAUGAAAGUGAGUACUAUGCAUCAGCUCAAGUUUUUCAUUAAAGCUUCUCAUCUUAUGGACUACACAAAUUAGAAAAAUUAUCAACUGUCUCAGUGGGCUAUGCGUUUUACAGAAAUUCUAUACGACACCAUUUCAGAGCAUACAAUUUCCCGCUUUUUUAUUUUGACUGUGUUCUGUAUCAUAACAUUGUAUAAAA